GACGAACGCUGGCGGCGUGCUUAACACAUGCAAGUCGAACGGAAAGGCCCUGCUUUUGUGGGGUGCUCGAGUGGCGAACGGGUGAGUAACACGUGAGUAACCUGCCCUUGACUUUGGGAUAACUUCAGGAAACUGGGGCUAAUACCGGAUAGGAGCUCCUGCUGCAUGGUGGGGGUUGGAAAGUUUCGGCGGUUGGGGAUGGACUCGCGGCUUAUCAGCUUGUUGGUGGGGUAGUGGCUUACCAAGGCUUUGACGGGUAGCCGGCCUGAGAGGGUGACCGGCCACAUUGGGACUGAGAUACGGCCCAGACUCCUACGGGAGGCAGCAGUGGGGAAUAUUGCGCAGUGGGCGGAAGCCUGAUGCAGCAACGCCGCGUGCGGGAUGACGGCCUUCGGGGUGUAAACCGCUUUCGCCUGUGACGAAGCGUGAGUGACGGUAAUGGGUAAAGAAGCACCGGCUAACUACGUG
rnacentral:rRNA from 1 species